rnacentral:tRNA from 1 species
CCGCCCAUAGCUCAAUGGACAGAGCAACUCCGUUCUAAGGAGAAGGUUGGGGGUCCAAGUCCCUCUGGGCGGA